CACACUCAAAGCACAGGGAGAGACGUGAGCUGGUUACUCCUGCCCACCCUUUUGCAUUUCUGAGGGCAGAGAACCUGUUGAAUACAGCAUACUCUGAAUUGUUCUCUUCCUCCCUCCUACAGCAAAACUGCCAGGGCUGUGCUGACUUGGUAAACUCCUGGAGAAGACAUUUAUGAGGUCUAAAAUGUUUGACUGGGUUUUCUCAUCUUCUGCUUUGGAGCUGGCCAUGAACCUCAUGAGACAACUUGCUCCUGUGCAUUCCAGUGGUUUAAGUGUGCUUGGAAUAACAGUGCUAUGUAAGAUCCCUGUCAGCCUGACCCUGAGGGAACCUUACGUGAGCUGGGAAAGUCAAGUUCUCUCAGGCUGGUGGAAGCAUUCAUUGAGCAGUGACUGGGUGAGAAGCACCAAAGCUACUAAAGAAUUGGAUGCUUUUCCUGUGUAGUUUUGUGGAGGACCGUGUAGCCUAGUUUGACUUUUGUUUUGUUUUGUUUUUAAAGGAUAGUGUUUAUUUGGGCAUUCCAUACCUUUGGCCUUCCAAGGACAAACAGAUCAUUGGAGUCAUGAAUGGUCUGUGUGCUCAUGGCCUUUUCUAACGGAACUGUGGUGGGGUGAUCUGGCAGUUUUGCCACUUUUGGGGUUCUUUGCUGUCUAGGUCACUGGCACAAAGAGUAUUUCUGAUGUCAACAGAACAAAGUUCCCUGUGAUCAGCUGCUUGUUUACUGCAAAUUCACCUCUGGCUUAAGCCUGC
rnacentral:lncRNA from 1 species